GAAGCAGACCCAGGAGGAACUGUCUGUUGAAGACCCCCCCCCCACCACCACCAAGCUGCCCACCAGAGGCCAAGCUGUACUUGGUGUUUGCCAACAUGCUGUAAUUUCCAGCCUGGUUGCUGUAGCCACAGAGGAAUUUUCAAGGACAAGAACCAGUGCUGGUAAAACUGUGGUCUCUGUGGUUUUCCAUACCGGCUCUCGGCAAGGAUUUUCAAGAAAGGAAUACCAUCUCCAAAUCAUGAUGUGCCAAUAAGCUCCAGUUAGGCUGCGGCCUUUUCCCCAGGCGGUAGUCCUGCAAUCUGAAUCCAGGAGAUGCAGCUCUGAAUCCAAUAUUUCAGAAGAAUGAAGAUGUUAGUCAACUCUGUA